UGGGGAAUAUUGGGCAAUGGGGGCAACCCUGACCCAGCAACGCCGCGUGAAGGAAGAAGGCCUUCGGGUUGUAAACUUCUUUGACGAGGGACGAAACAAAUGACGGUACCUCGAAAACAAGCCACGGCUAACUACGUGCCAGCAGCCGCGGUAAUACGUAGGUGGCAAGCGUUGUCCGGAUUUACUGGGUGUAAAGGGCGCGUAGGCGGGAUUGCAAGUCAGAUGUGAAAUACCGGGGCUUAACCCCGGGGCUGCAUUUGAAACUGCAGUUCUUGAGUGUCGGAGAGGCAGGCGGAAUUCCUAGUGUAGCGGUGAAAUGCGUAGAUAUUAGGAGGAACACCAGUGGCGAAGGCGGCCUGCUGGACGAUAACUGACGCUGAGGCGCGAAAGCGUGGGGAGCAAACAGG
rnacentral:rRNA from 2 species